rnacentral:rRNA from 1 species
GAUCCUAUGCUGUCGAGAAAAGCCUCUAGCGAGUUUCAUGGCGGCCCGUACCCCAAACCGACUCAGGUGGUCAGGUAGAGAAUACCGAGGCGUUCGGGUGAACUGUGGUUAAGGAACUCGGCAAAAUGCCCCCGUAACUUCGGGAGAAGGGGGGCCAUUGCUGGUGAUGGGACUUGCUCCUUGAGCUGGUGGUGGCCGCAGAGACCAGCGAGAAGCGACUGUUUACUAAAAACACAGGUCCGUGCGAAGCCGUAAGGCGAUGUAUACGGACUGACGCCUGCCCGGUGCUGGAACGUUAAGGGGACCGGUUAGUCCGACUUCGGUCGGGCGAAGCUGAGAACUUAAGCGCCAGUAAACGGCGGUGGUAACUAUAACCAUCCUAAGGUAGCGAAAUUCCUUGUCGGGUAAGUUCCGACCUGCACGAAUGGCGUAACGACUUCUCGACUGUCUCAACCACAGGCCCGGUGAAAUUGCAUUACGAGUAAAGAUGCUCGUUUCGCGCAGCAGGACGGAAAGACCCCGGGACCUUUACUAUAGCUUGAUAUUGGUGUUCGGUUCGGCUUGUGUAGGAUAGGUGGGAGACUUUGAAGCAGCAACGCCAGUUGUUGUGGAGUCGCCGUUGAAAUACCACUCUGGUCGUGCUGGAUGUCUAACCUGGGUCCGUGAUCCGGAUCAGGGACAGUGUCUGGUGGGUAGUUUAACUGGGGCGGUUGCCUCCUAAAGGGUAACGGAGGCGCCCAAAGGUUCCCUCAGCCUGGUUGGCAAUCAGGUGUUGAGUGUAAGUGCACAAGGGAGCUUGACUGUGAGACUGACGGGUCGAGCAGGUACGAAAGUAGGGACUAGUGAUCCGGCGGUGGCUUGUGGAAGCGCCGUCGCUCAACGGAUAAAAGGUACCCCGGGGAUAACAGGCUGAUCUUCCCCAAGAGUCCAUAUCGACGGGAUGGUUUGGCACCUCGAUGUCGGCUCGUCGCAUCCUGGGGCUGGAGUAGGUCCCAAGGGUUGGGCUGUUCGCCCAUUAAAGCGGUACGCGAGCUGGGUUUAGAACGUCGUGAGACAGUUCGGUCCCUAUCCGCUGUGCGCGUAGGAGUGUUGAGAAGGGCUGUCCCUAGUACGAGAGGACCGGGACGGACGAACCUCUGGUGUGCCAGUUGUCCUGCCAAGGGCAUGGCUGGUUGGCUACGUUCGGGAGGGAUAACCGCUGAAAGCAUCUAAGCGGGAAGCCUGCUUCGAGAUGAGCACUCCCACCUCCUUGAGAGGGUAAGGCUCCCAGUAGACGACUGGGUUGAUAGGCCGGAUAUGGAAGCCCUGUGAGGGGUGGAGUUGACCGGUACUAAUAGGCCGAGGGCUUGUCCUC